GUGGUUGCUUCAGCAGUACAUGUACUAAAAUUGGAAUAAUACAGAGCAAAUUAGUAGUGUUCCUGUGCAAGGAUGAACGGCAAACUCAUAAAGGACUCCUCAUUUUU
ensembl:snRNA Gm24796 U6 spliceosomal RNA